rnacentral:tRNA from 1 species
CUGGACAGGUGGGCCUCGAUCCCACAAAAAUUAGUUAACAGCUAAACACCCAACCCAGCGGGCUUCUAUCCU